rnacentral:rRNA from 1 species
GACGAACGCUGGCGGCGUGCUUAACACAUGCAAGUCACGGGGGCCCGCAAGGGCAACCGGCGAACGGGUGCGUAACACGUGAACAACCUGCCCUCGUGUGGGGGAUAGCCAUGCUAACGCGUGGGUAAUACCGCAUACGUUCCCUUGGAGGAGUCUCUGGGGGAGGAAAGCUCCGGCGCACGGGGAGGGGUUCGCGGCCUAUCAGCUAGUUGGCGGGGUAAUGGCCCACCAAGGCGACGACGGGGUAGCNGGUCUGAGAGGAUGGCCAGCCACAUUGGGACUGAGAGACGGCCCAGACUCCUACGGGAGGCAGCAGUGGGGAAUCUUGCGCAAUGGCCGAAAGGCUGACGCAGGCGACGCCGCGUGUGGGAUGAAGCAUUUCGGUGUGUAAACCACUGUUGCCCGGGACGAACAGCCUGUUUCGACAGGUCUGACGGUACCGGGUGAGGAAGCACCGGCUAACUCCGUGCCAG